CAGUUAACCUGUACAGCUAUUGUGUCAUUUAAAACUCCUCAUGUUGUUCAGAAGUCAAACUUUAAUGAGUUGCUGUAUUGUAAAGUAACAGACAAUAAGAGUGGACAAACACUGCUGUGUAAUGCCUUCUCUAAGUCCUCCUGUGAGAAAACAGACACAACAGGAAGCACAUCAACAGGAGGAAACGAGAUAACGGAGGACGAAACUCUGAAGAAACCAGGUUGGAUCAGGUUCAUCAUUGUGUCUGUGGGACUGGCAGUACUCAUAAUCAUUUUUGUGACGAUCAGCAUAUGGGUGAGAACUAAAGAGAACAAAACGCAGAUGGAUCACAAUGCUGUUGAAAAUGAUGAAGGUGAAGCUUCAGUAAUCUAUGAAAACUAUGGAGGUCAUGAUGCUUCUGUCAGAUUCCAGUGAACAACAACGUCAGGAUCAAUAUCACCUGAAAAGAGAAGAAAACAUGAAGAUGAAGGAAAGACGGGCAUCAUUUUCAGUGUUUUUUAGCUGACAAAGUUUCUUCUAGUUUAACAACUUCAGAUUUCUUUUUUUAAGAAGGGGGGGGGGGGGUA